rnacentral:rRNA from 1 species
CACGACUACAUUAGAUACCCCCGUAGUCCUAGCCGUAAACGAUACUCGCUAGGUGUCGGCCACGGUGCGACCGUUGUCGGUGCCGUAGGGAAGCCGUGAAGCGAGCCACCUGGGAAGUACGGCCGCAAGGCUGAAACUUAAAGGAAUUGGCGGGGGAGCACAACAACGGGUGGAGCUUGCGGUUUAAUUGGAUUCAACGCCGGAAAUCUUACCGGGACCAACAGCAACAUGAAGGCCAAGCUGAAGACUUUGCCGGAUUAGCUG